rnacentral:rRNA from 1 species
AUUGAACGCUGGCGGCAGGACUAACACAUGCAAGUCGAACGAGUGGCGGACGGGUGAGUAAUGUCUGGGAAACUGCCUGAUGGAGGGGGAUAACUACUGGCAACGGUAGCUAAUACCGCAUACCAUCAGCUGUGCCACGCUUGGAUUCGCUGGUUGGUGGGGUAACGGCUGACCAAGGCGACGAUCCCUAGCUUGUCUGAGAGGAUGAACAGCCACACUGGAACGUAGACACGGGCCAGACUCCUACGGGAGGCAGCAGUGGGGAAUAUGGCACAAUGGGCGAAAGCCUGAUGCAGCCAUGCCGCGUGUAUGAAGAAGGCCUUCGGGUUGUAAAGUACUUGCAGCGGGGAGGCGUUACCCGCAGAAGAAGCACCGGCUAACUCCGUGCCAGCAGCCGCGGUAAUAC